CGCCCCUCUCCCGGCGGCCGGGUUGGACCACCAAGGGAUACCCCAUGAGAAUCUUAGGCGGCGGGGGCUCGGCCCUCAGGUCGAGCAACCCGGCACAAGGGCAGGGCAGCCUGGGACCCCCCACUCUGCCCCAUCCUGCUGCUGGGGACCUGCGGGAGCUGCCUUACCGUUUCACUGAGGAACGUGAACCACCACUGACUUGGAUGACGGCAGCCCCACCUUCUCCUUGAAGCAGGUUGAGUGGAGGCAAGGCCUACGCUGAACCAGUGCAGGAAGAAUUGCAGUGAAAACCCCUCACCCAGGUCAGCUGACCCUCCUUGACUAUAAUGGCUGGCCAUUACCGACUGGAACAGGGAAGAGGAUGUACUCAUCGGUGAGGCCCAGGGAUUUGGCGAAGUGGAUGAAGUUCUCCUUCAGUUGAGGGGUCAGCUCCUUGGUCCUCCCUGUGGCCAGAUGGCCAGCGAGUGGCCGGCAAACACUCCAUAAAUAUUGUUGAAUGCGUGAACAAGGCCUCUGAUCCCUUCCUCAUGGAGGGUCUGCAGAAGGACCUCCCUCCCUGGCCGCCCACAGGGACUGCGAGCUGACACUGAGAGAGGACCUGGGGGGCUGGGUUGGGAUGGGCCUCUCCCCCGACAGUGUGACGCAGAGCCGGGUCCCCGAGGCGGUGGGGCAGACCCACCGUAGAGGGUGGUCUUGAAGUACUCCUGGUUCUUGUAAUCCUUCUUGAAGUACACUAUGGCAAACUGGUUGUAGUUGGUAGUCGCCACUCGCACGGUAUAGCUCUGAACCCCGGGGAAGCCUGUGGGGAGGACGGCGAGGGGUCAGCCUGCCCAGGCUGGGAGGAGGGAGCCGUUCCUUUCUCCCCGGCCCAUCUGCAGGGGCCUCUCCCACAGAACAGCAUCUGUGUGGAGGGGCAGGGAGGUCUGUGCCCCUUCCUGGAGGACCCUGCCCCCCCAGAAGCCCAGCCCCAGGGCCCACCUCAUUCAGGACUCACCCUUAAUAUUGCCCAGGGUGAACUGGCCAGGCCGGGAACUUGGGACAAAAGUUCUGAUCCAGUGGUCACAGCGCUCGUCCCUGUGGGAGGGAGAGAUGGGUGAGUGAGACCAGAGGGGACACAGGCUUGGACUCCUUGGGCUGGACGAGGUGGGGGCCAGGGCCGUAGCUGGAGGGGGUGGGAUUCUGAUGCCCCUGGCCUGGCCCAGCCCAAGACAGUCCAUCCCCACCACAGCAGGUGGUCCCUACCCCACCCAGCUGAGAUGGGCCUGGGUCUUCCCCUCUGAGCCUACCACUGUCUGUCACUGCCUGGUCUGCCCUGGGACAUCUGACCCUGCUCAGACCCUCCCUCCAGCACCCACUGUCCUUUCCUCUUCAGGGCUGUCUCCCCUCGGUGGCCUUCCCUACACACUGUCCCCCUACACCCAACCCCAGGCAUUUAUCCCCUGCUCCUAUCUACCCUCUGCUGCUUCCCUGUCUGUCACCUCUCCUGGGGGAGUCACCCUCCAAGGUUCCAGUCUGCUCCCUGCCAAGGACUCCUCUAGCUCCUGGGCCAACCCUGACCUGAGUCCCACCCUGUCUCCUGGUAUUCCACAGCUGAUCUCCCCAAACCCAUCCUUCUUCUGCUUCUUGCUCCACAGAUGCUCCAGCCUCAAUCCCCCUGGGUGCCAGAGCCAGAAACUCAUAGGGGCUGGGCGAUCCUUGGCACCCUACCAUUUCUCUCUCCGCCACCCCCAGAGGGACCCUGCUCAGACCCACUCCUCACCAGAUCGCUUCUGUGCUGGUGCCUGAGGCCCCUGGCAGUGUGCUAGUGUCUGGGCACAGUUGCCCCCCUGCCAAGCCACUCAGCUGCUGCUCAGGACAGCUGUACGAUGGCUGCUUCCUGAAGGAGUGCUUCUCUCUGACUCAGAGUCACCAGCCCCUGCUGUGGACGCCUCAUGCCUCCUUCUGAGGCAGGUGGCUCGUUCAAGGCCCAGUUCCUGAGGCUACCUCCCUGUAAGCCCUUGAUGAAGCCCUGGGGGGGGGGGGGUUCCAGGCUCUCUCUGUCUUGUUUUCUGAAUGACUG